UGGGGAAUUUUUGGACAAUGGGCGAAAGCCUGAUCCAGCAAUGCCGCGUGUGUGAAGAAGGCCUUCGGGUUGUAAAGCACUUUUGUCCGGAAAGAAAUCCUUGGCUCUAAUACAGUCGGGGGAUGACGGUACCGGAAGAAUAAGCACCGGCUAACUACGUGCCAGCAGCCGCGGUAAUACGUAGGGUGCAAGCGUUAAUCGGAAUUACUGGGCGUAAAGCGUGCGCAGGCGGUUUGCUAAGACCGAUGUGAAAUCCCCGGGCUCAACCUGGGAACUGCAUUGGUGACUGGCAGGCUAGAGUAUGGCAGAGGGGGGUAGAAUUCCACGUGUAGCAGUGAAAUGCGUAGAGAUGUGGAGGAAUACCGAUGGCGAAGGCAGCCCCCUGGGCCAAUACUGACGCUCAUGCACGAAAGCGUGGGGAGCAAACAGGAUUAGAUACCCUGGUAGUCCACGCCCUAAACGAUGUCAACUAGUUGUUGGGGAUUCAUUUCCUUAGUAACGUAGCUAACGCGUGAAGUUGACCGCCUGGGGAGUACGGUCGCAAGAUUAAAACUCAAAUGAAUUG
rnacentral:rRNA from 1 species